rnacentral:rRNA from 1 species
UGGGGAAUAUUGCGCAAUGGGGGGAACCCUGACGCAGCCAUGCCGCGUGAAUGAAGAAGGCCUUAGGGUUGUAAAGUUCUUUCGGUAUUGAGGAAGGUUGAUGUGUUAAUAGCACAUCAAAUUGACGUUAAAUACAGAAGAAGCACCGGCUAACUCCGUGCCAGCAGCCGCGGUAAUACGGAGGGUGCGAGCGUUAAUCGGAAUAACUGGGCGUAAAGGGCACGCAGGCGGUUAUUUAAGUGAGGUGUGAAAGCCCCGGGCUUAACCUGGGAAUUGCAUUUCAGACUGGGUAACUAGAGUACUUUAGGGAGGGGUAGAAUUCCACGUGUAGCGGUGAAAUGCGUAGAGAUGUGGAGGAAUACCGAAGGCGAAGGCAGCCCCUUGGGAAUGUACUGACGCUCAUGUGCGAAAGCGUGGGGAGCAAACAGGAUUAGAUACCCUGGUAGUCCACGCUGUAAACGCUGUCGAUUUGGGGGUUGGGGUUUAACCCUGGCGCCCGUAGCUAACGUGAUAAAUCGACCGCCUGGGGAGUACGGCCGCAAGGUUA